CGCGGGGUAGAGCAGUCAGGUAGCUCGUCAGGCUCAUAACCUGAAGGUCACUAGUUCGAAUCUAGUCCCCGCAACCA
rnacentral:tRNA from 1 species